rnacentral:rRNA from 1 species
AGAGUUUGAUUAUGGCUCAGAAUCAACGCUGGCGGCGCGCCUAACACAUGCAAGUCGAACGGGAAAGCCGCAAGGUGAGUAAAGUGGCGUACGGGUGAGUAACACGUGGAACAUCUACCUUUUAGUGGGGAAUACCGUUGGGAAACCGACGACAAUACCGCAUAAUCUCGAGAGAGGAAAGCAGCAAUGCGCUGAAAGAGGAGUCCGCGGUCGAUUAGUUAGUUGGCAGGGUAAAAGCCUACCAAGACUGUGAUCGAUAGCCGGCCCGAGAGGGCACACGGCCACACUGGCACUGAAACACGGGCCAGACUCCUACGGGAGGCAGCAGUGGGGAAUCUUGCACAAUGGAGGAAACUCUGAUGCAGCGACGCCGCGUGAGCGAUGAAGCCCUUCGGGGUGUAAAGCUCUUUCGGCAGGGAAGAUUAUGACGGUACCUGCAGAAGCAGCUGCGGCUAACUACGUGCCAGCAGCCGCGGUAAUACGUAGGCAGCAAGCGUUGUUCGGAGUUACUGGGCGUAAAGGGUGCGUAGGCGGCUUUUUAAGUUUGGUGUGAAAUCUCCCGGCUCAACCGGGAGGGUGCGCCGAAUACUGAGAGGCUAGAGUGCGGGAGAGGAAAGUGGAAUUCCUGGUGUAGCGGUGAAAUGCGUAGAUAUCAGGAGGAACACCGGUGGUGUAGACGGCUUUCUGGACCGUAACUGACGCUGAGGCACGAAAGCGUGGGUAGCAAACAGGAUUAGAUACCCUGGUAGUCCACGCCCUAAACGAUGCAUAUUUGGUGUGGGCCAUUCAUUUGGUCCGUGCCGGAGCUAACGCGUUAAAUAUGCCGCCUGGGGAGUACAGUCGCAAGGCUGAAACUCAAAGGAUUGACC